rnacentral:rRNA from 1 species
AUGAGGAGCGCGUCGGCGCCGGCCGUGAUCCGGUGCGCCAGCCGCACGGAGAACCCCACCCACCCGCCCUUCUGCCCGUCCAGGCGCCCGAUGAAGCCGAGCAGCGGCACGUCGCCGCGGACCUGCAGGCCCAGCUCCCGCUGCAGGGCCUCCUUGCACUGCCGCUUGCCGGAGUCCAGCGUCCCCAGGGAGAAGUUGGUGUAG